rnacentral:lncRNA from 1 species
AUGCUGGCUUUCUCCCACCGUGGCCACAACAGCCAGGCGGAGGCCAGAAGCCGGGAACUCCAUCUGGGUCUCCAACAUGGGUGGCAGGGGCCCAAGUCCUUGGGCCAUCGUCCAUCGCUUUCCCAGGUGCAUCAGCAGGGAGCCGGCCUGGCAGACGGCAGCUUCACCAGUCCCCAGGCUGUCCUGCUCGGUGCUUGUGCCCGUGACGCAGCGUCCAUUCCCCUGGGCAGCACUGGCUCUUUGGCCUGUUGUAGCCGAACCCCAGAGCAAACGCCACCCGGCUGGGCCCGGCCACACGGAGCUUCCUCUGGCACUGGGAAUCAGAAUUCUUCCCCGGAACCAUCAGUAAACUCAUGGACUUCGCAGAGGGAUGGACCCCAGAGCCAAGCAGAGACCGGGCAGUGUGGACCCUGGCUCAGCCCCGCUUUGCCCUGUGGUCCUCGGCCAGCGUCAGCCUCCCCACCCUUCCCAAGCUCAGGGCCUAACCCCACCACGGGGGGGCAGAGCCUCAUCCUGCUGGCCCUGCUGCCACCAACCGCGGUCACCUCAGGGACCCUGAUCAGGGCAGGGCUGUGCAGGGCAGUGGCGCUGGCUGCCGAGGUGGCUGCCUGGAGACCCGGCACCGCCCUCCGGGACUGCGGGAGCCCUUCAGGUCCUGGAUGCUUCUUCCAACAAAAGCAGCGCAAACCGGAGCAUCCAAACGAAUGGACACGAGGAGGCAGGCCAGCGCUGGACCCCGCCCCACUCGGGCAGCUGCAGGCGGAGGAGCGGGGCCACAGCUGGGUCUCCGCCUCCCGGAGCCUGGGCCCGGGGUGCACAGGGCAGGGGCUACGGCGGCCGCCGCUGCAGACUCCGGAACCGGUGCCGCGAUUCCCCUGCAAACCACGCGCUCCCGCCCACGUGUCCGAAUCCCGGCGGCGAGGUGGAAGGGGAUCUGGGAGAUACCAGGACCCGCGCCACGCACACACACGAACAAGCCAAAGGGAACGCUGGCUCGUGCUCGCCAGCAACGCAGACCCCGAGUCCACGGCCGCAGUGCGCAGCGUCGGGCACAGGAGUGGGGUCCCGGGCGCCACCAAGCCCACCCGCAGGGCCAGUCCAGGGGCUGGGGGCCAGGGAAGUGCCAGUGGCCGC